GCUGGCGGCGGCCGUUGGGACCGUUAGGGCCGCGCCGCGUGCAGCCGGGGGUCCCCGGAGAUCGCGGCCAGUGACUUAGCCGCGUCUGCCGCGCUUAGCGGCAGUGCCCGCUUCUCUCCUGCCGACCCGGGGCGCGCUGAGCCGGAGUGCUCCAGCCAGCUGGGAAAACGAAUGCAAAACUUUACAAAGUGGAGAUUCCGCUACAGAGGCAAAAUGUUUUCGGGCUUCAAGGGGUCAGGGCAGACACUACACUGGUCACUCCUCUAAACUGCAGCUAUCAGUGCGGCCAUCCAUUAUAUUACAGUGUUCACUUGGAUUUUGGACAUUUGGUGUCAUUUGGACACCCUUUUCACGAAAAACUAGUGCGAAGAAAAAUGGGCAUUUCAAUUUAAAAAAUUCUCCUGAUGAUACUCAGUGUUGCAUUCCUAGAGGCAGGCCCGAGGGGAACUUCCCUGGGUAGCUGCAGAACAUACAAUAGUUUUUAAAAGAAGGAAGAAAUUAAUAUUCCAAGCUUUAACAUUUUCACAUUUGGCACAGUCUUUUAAAUUGACAUUUGUUCAACAAUGAGCAACUGCAUUUUUCAAAAAGCACGUAAAAGCAGAAAUAAGUACGUAUUGGAAGAUUAGUGCAGUCCCAAAAUCAAUAGUUCUACAUUUUUAUUGAAGUGUAGCAUCCCUAAAGUAGGAUUCAGAUGGAGUUUAUGACAGCUUCUGAAAACUUUGUUACUUACAAGUGAUACUCUUUUUAGGCCUAAGUGCAUACCAGUGCCGAACAAGAAUUGUAAACUGUGAAGUAACUACUAUGGAAAAGAUUAAGUAAAGCAUUGGAGGCGGAUGAUUUUGACAAUAAAGAGGGUGUAUGUGGAAAAGAUAUGUUCAGCAUCUACAAAAGAAUAGAAGUGGACUUCAUCUUCAAAGGAAUGCUUUAUAAACCCACCUUGAGAUAAUCACACUUGUAAGGGAAAGAAAUAGUUGGACACACUUCACUCGUCGAUAAAACUUUGGGGAACUGUUUUUGUAACUAUUACAUUUUCACUGGCGUCUCAUUGUUUAAAAUAGUGUGUGCAUUAGGUGGCGGAUUAAGAAAAAAAUAAUUUUGUCAGCAGACCUCCACAUGACCUGUCAACAGGAAAAGGAGUAGAUCUGACUCUCUUGCAAGAAAUUCAGAAAGGGUCCAUUUCUGUCACAUCAGUACAAGUACAGAUACUGGAAUGAAGGUGUUUGAAAUUUGAAGGUGUUUGAAAUUAUUCCAGAUUUUAAAAUUAAAUGCAGCAAAGUAGAAAAAUCCUAAACACUUCCAAAGAUACUGCACAAUUGCAUGCCUUAUCUAACCCUGAGAUGUGUGAAAAAGCAUGAUUCCUUCCCUCCUAUCUCUUCUGUCCCUCUAGUAUCUGAACCCUGUUUUAAAAACUGAGGAGUCCUUUACAUGGAUUUGAUGAAUUAUACUCAUGACAAAAACUUGGCAUGGCUUUAAGAUACUCUCAUAUGUGAAGGUCACAACUAUUUAAGGAUUAGGCCACAAGAGCCUACAUGGAGAUGUAGUAGAUGUGUUAAGCUGCUGCGUAUGCUAUUUUCUGAAAUAUUUGCCUACUCUAAUAAUUGCUUUUAAGCUAAAAUAGUGCUCAAGUUCCGUCUUGCUGAUUGAAGGGCUGUGUUAUCAACUAGCCAGAAACCUGAAAACUUAUUUAUCCUGUACAAAAAAAUUGCAUGAUAGUCAUUUUCAGUUGGAGCACAAAAGUGCAAAGGAUUAACACGGUUUUCUAUUUUUGCCACUAAGAAAAUAUUAAUAUUACUGGAAAGUUGGGUGCCACACUGGGAGACCAAAAUUGUCUGCAGAAAAGGCAUAACAAGCCUACAACCCAUGUAACUGUUCUGUAUUCCUUUCCUGCUGUGCUUCAUGCCAAACCUGGGGCUGAGCGUUUCUUUCCCAAUGUUAUAUUGGACUCCACUGCUGACACUGCCAAGCAUGUGUGCCUCUCGCCACCAUUUACAGUGUGCUUGGCUCACGUCUGGCUGCCUGAUGGUCCUGGGCACAUCAGUAUCACUGUUGUUGUUGCUCUUGUUGUUGCUGUCGUUGUGGGUGUAUUCUGCAGAAUGUAACUCUCUGUCCAUUAAGGGUUGUCCACUCUGUAUCUAAAUCUCAUGAAGAUAGAGCAGGGCAUGACGAGACCGAUAGUCAGUAAAAGGUACUCCCUGGGGAUCUGAGUAGAGAACAAUUGCAGGCUGCAUUUUAGAACUCCAUUAGCUUCUUUUUGCUCUGACCGUGCUUUGAGCAUCCGUGUUUUGAGAAGUACAGUUGAAUUUAAAAGGCAUUUAUUCAUUGACAAAUACGGAACUUCAGAAGUAGGUCAAUGGCCCAACGGGAUACAUAUAGGGGAAAAGACUGCAAGACCAAGAACUUAUAUUAAAACCAACCAAAUAUAUAUUUAUCACUGUUAUUUGAAUUCAGGCUUUUGGUUUUAUCACAUGUGCUCUUCCUAUUUCCAGUACCUUAAUCUAUCACAAAAAUGACGCUCUGUGCCUCAGUAAAGUCUCCUGCUGCUCUCAAAGGAUUGUAAAAGUUGGCUGUCUGCAUAAAAAUUAAAACAAGUAUCUGCAAAGUCCAGUUUUAUUCAAAAAUUACUACAUAUGCUUAAUUUGGAUUCAAACUCCCAGACAGUACACUCCUUUCAGUCUGGUUAUAAAAGCAAAUGAACAUAUAAAAAACGUUCUGUCCUUUUGCACAGUGUGUUGGGAAUAGAGCAUUUCUGUGGAUAAGCCUGACAAGAGCCCAUCUCAGACAGUAGGCUGUGAUUUGGACCUGUGCAAUUAAGCGAGCAGUAUUUUAUCUAACCAGCAUUCCUGUUUGCUCAAGGUGGCUGCUUAUUUGCUGCCCCCAACUUUGCCACCGGGAUUG